rnacentral:tRNA from 1 species
CGGGGCGUGGCCCAGUCCGGUCUAGGGCGCAAGUCUGGGGGACUUGAGAUCGCGAGUUCAAAUCUCGCCGCCCCGA